CAACUGAACCACGCCGCCCACCGCCACGCAAUUAACCAGAUCUGGUGCGCUGGUUUUGAAGCCCUGGGUAGGUGCUCGAGAGUGGCAGAUAAUGCUACUCUGAACGAUGUAUAUAAAAAGAAAAAAAUAGAUGGGUAUAAAGAAAAAAAAAUUCCGCCCGCCCGCCCCAAUUCUAUUCCAAACAAACGAUGAAAAACAGAAAUAUUAUUUUAAUAGGCCUUAACUCGUUUGAGAUAAACCGAAUUCCUUUCGGGUAUUAUUGAGUUAAUACAUCCCUGCUUUUGAGUGGUUUAAUCAUUUAAGUGUUUUUGCCCGCCAAAUGUGGACACACAGCCUGGGAAUAUUUUUAUACAUUUGCUACAAAAAAUGAUGUCCUGUCUGAUCUGCUAACGCACAGCAAUUGUC